GAUCUCGCUUAGACGCACCGGGAACCUAACUUUGUCCACCGUCUUCACCUCUCCGGUCGUUGCAACCUGCGAGCUCCUUCUACGUUGCGGUGGUCGACUCUUGCGCCACGGGAACACUUCCUUCGAAUUCUCGAUAAAAUUAUACUUAAGCUUCCCUAGGUCGACGCAGUCUUUGUUAUACACACGCACAAGAUCCUCAUUCUCGUCAUAGAACACAUACGACGCGUUUAACCAGUCGGGAUCAGUAGGUUCUACGUGUCCCGGAAGGCGCAACUCCUUCCAUAGUUUCCACAUGCGGUCUACAUUCGCAUGGUGGAUGUAGAACGCGGGCUUGGUCAUCUUGUGCACUAUUGCAUGAGACUCUAAACCCUUGGGUUUGAUUGGUUCGAGCCUUGAAGGCUAGUUGGGUGUUAGUGGAUGUGAAUGGGGAGGUGAGUGGAAGUAGUGAAGAGGACAUGAUUAACUUAGAAAAGAAAGAUGGGUGU
rnacentral:lncRNA from 1 species